GAAACAGUGGAGUACAUCAAGGAGAAGAUCAGGGAGAAUCCAUCUCCAGAGACAUCCAUCAAUCUGUUCCACUGUCUGAAUGAACUGAAUGAUGAUUCUCUAGUGCAGGAAGUACAAACUUACCUGAAUAGAGAAGGUGACAGUCCUCUCAGAGGAACCAGUCUCUCUCCUGCUCAGUGGUCAGCUCUGGUGUUUGUGUUACUGACCUCAGAACAGGAGCUGGAUGUGUUUGAUUUGAGGAAAUAUGAUCCAUCACAUGAAUGUCUUCUGAAGCUGCUGCCAGUGGUCAAAGCCUCCAGAAAAGCUUUUCUGUGUGUGUGUAAUCUGACAGAGGAAAGCUGUAGAGUUCUGUCCUCAGUUCUCAGCUCAAACUCCUCCAGUCUGAGAGACCUGAACCUGAGUGGCAAUGAACUGCAGGAUUCAGGAGUGAAGCUGCUCUCUGAUGGACUGAAGGAUCCACACUGUACACUGGAGAUACUGAGUCUGUGUGUGUGUG